rnacentral:lncRNA from 10 species
CUCUCCAGUCUCCUAGGGAGCCCCAACCCUGAGGAAGACCUUCAGCUGGCUGCUGUCCUGCAUGGCCUGCCGUGGGGUGAGGACAGACGGAACACUGAAGUGCCCUGUAGCCAGCUAAGAAUUCCACUGGUAAGUCCCUGGGACUAAGCAGUGGUUUUGGCUUAUCAUCGAUGUUCAAUACAUUAUUUAUUGAAAAGGUAAAUGAUAAUAUCUAAUAUUUAUGUUACCAUUAUUUACUAUUAAUAUUAAUGGGGUGGAAUUUGGUGAACUUUAGCCAAUGAACCAAAUCACAUAUGUAUUCUUCGGCUUAAUUUGAAUUCUGCUUUGUAUUGGCCAAUCACAUCUUUCUUUGGUAGGCAGGCAAGCUUGAACAGGAUGUUCCCUUAACUGCUUGAGGGGACCUUCAUGGUAGUGUGGAAUUAUAGUAGAC